CCGACCGGCGCACGGGUGAGUAACACGUAUGCAAUCCACCUGUAACAGGGGGAUAACCCGGAGAAAUCCGGACUAAUACCCCAUAAUAUGGGCGCUCCGCAUGGAGAGUUCAUUAAAGAGAGCAAUUUUGGUUACAGACGAGCAUGCGCUCCAUUAGCCAGUUGGCGGGGUAACGGCCCACCAAGGCGACGAUGGAUAGGGGUUCUGAGAGGAAGGUCCCCCACAUUGGAACUGAGACACGGUCCAA
rnacentral:rRNA from 1 species